rnacentral:rRNA from 1 species
AUUGAACGCUGGCGGCAUGCCUUACACAUGCAAGUCGAACGGCAGCACGGGUGCUUGCACCUGGUGGCGAGUGGCGAACGGGUGAGUAAUACAUCGGAACAUGUCCUGUAGUGGGGGAUAGCCCGGCGAAAGCCGGAUUAAUACCGCAUACGAUCUACGGAUGAAAGCGGGGGACCUUCGGGCCUCGCGCUAUAGGGUUGGCCGAUGGCUGAUUAGCUAGUUGGUGGGGUAAAGGCCUACCAAGGCGACGAUCAGUAGCUGGUCUGAGAGGACGACCAGCCAUACUGGGACUGAGACACGGCCCAGACUCCUACGGGAGGCAGCAGUGGGGAAUGUUGGACAAUGGGCGAAAGCCUGAUCCAGCAAUGCCGCGUGUGUGAAGAAGGCCUUCGGGUUGUAAAGCACUUUUGUCCGGAAAGAAAUCCUUGGCUCUAAUACAGUCGGGGGAUGACGGUACCGGAAGAAUAAGCACCGGCUAACUACGUG